rnacentral:tRNA from 1 species
AUUUAAAUAGUUUAAUAAAAAAAUUUUGAUUUGUGGAAUCAAAGAUAUAAAACUAUUAUUUUAAGUA